GUCAACCACCCCGCCGUGAACGGCGGAGCUUGAAAGGAGGUUCUUUUCAGCUCGGGUUGACCAGGGAGAGUCGUAACCAACCGGCUACGUUGCAUACAGGUACAAGACCCACUGGCGGAUGCUUCCUCAGUCCGCCGCUCUGGAAGUCCCGGAUGCAGACAACCGCGAGGGCCAGGACGAAACGGUCCGGGACAAUACGCCGGUACGCAACAUUCCCGAGGGGAGACAGUC
rfam:Leptospirillum sp. Group IV &apos;TBA BS&apos; genomic scaffold D084_Lepto4S00266, whole genome shotgun sequence.